AGAUACCCUGUUACUUAUAAUUAAAAGAUUUUGGAAUAGUAAUUAUUAUGAAAUUUAACUGAUUUGGCGGCAAAAUAGCCAUUUAGAGGAACCUGCCCUAUAAACGAUGAACCACGAAAUACUCUACUUUUUUUUGUAAACAGUUUGUAUACCUCUGUUGUCAGUCAGUUUUAUAAGAAAACUUUCUCUAAUGAUAAGAUCAUGAACUUCAAGUAAAGGUGCAGCUUAUAUAAAAGAUAGAGGUGGGUUACAUUUAUAUGAUUAAAACGGAUAAAGAUUUUGAAAAAACUUUUGAAGGCGGAUUUAAAUGUAAAGUUUAAGCAAACU
rnacentral:rRNA from 1 species